rnacentral:rRNA from 1 species
UAGUUUGACUCCGUGGCUCAGGACACGCUGGCGGCGUGCUUAACACAUGCAAGUCGAACGAAAAGAGGGGAAGAGCUUGCUCUUUUCAGAAUUGAGUGGCAAACGGGUGAGUAACACGUAAACAACCUGCCUUCAGGAUGGGGGACAACAGACGGAAACGAUUGCUAAUACCGGAUGACGUCGGAGAACCGCAUGGUUCACUGACGAAAGAUAUUUCGGUUUGGGAGGGUCUCGCGGCCUAUCAGCUUGUUGGUGGGGUAAUGGCCUACCAAGGCAACGACGGGUAGCUGGUCUGAGAGGACGAUCAGCCACACUGGGACUGAGACACGGCCCAGACUCCUACGGGAGGCAGCAGUGGGGAAUUUUGGACAAUGGGGGCAACCCUGAUCCAGCAAUGCCGCGUGAGUGAAGAAGGCCUUCGGGUUGUAAAGCUCUUUUGUCAGGGAAGAAACACCGGCUCUAACACAGUCCGGGAAUGACGGUACCUGAAGAAUAAGCACCGGCUAACUACGUG